CACUUGGAAACAGGUGCUAAUACCGCAUAACCAUAGUUACCGCAUGGUAACUAUGUAAAAGGUGGCUAUGCUACCGCUUUUGGAUGGGCCCGCGGCGCAUUAGCUAGUUGGUGGGGUAAAGGCUUACCAAGGCAAUGAUGCGUAGCCGAACUGAGAGGUUGAUCGGCCACAUUGGGACUGAGACACGGCCCAAACUCCUACGGGAGGCAGCAGUAGGGAAUCUUCCACAAUGGGCGAAAGCCUGAUGGAGCAACGCCGCGUGGGUGAAGAAGGUCUUCGGAUCGUAAAACCCUGUUGUUAGAGAAGAAAGUGCGUGAGAGUAACUGUUCACGUUUCGACGGUAUCUAACCAGAAAGCCACGGCUAACUACGUGCCAGCAGCCGCGGUAAUACGUAGGUGGCAAGCGUUAUCCGGAUUUAUUGGGCGUAAAGGGAACGCAGGCGGUCUUUUAAGUCUGAUGUGAAAGCCUUCGGCUUAACCGGAGUAGUGCAUUGGAAACUGGGAGACUUGAGUGCAGAAGAGGAGAGUGGAACUCCAUGUGUAGCGGUGAAAUGCGUAGAUAUAUGGAAGAACACCAGUGGCGAAAGCGGCUCUCUGGUCUGUAACUGACGCUGAGGUUCGAAAGCGUGGGUAGCAAACAGGAUUAGAUACCCUGGUAGUCCACGCCGUAAA
rnacentral:rRNA from 1 species